CGGUGGGCUAGGCAGGGGGUUAGGGGUCCCCGUUCCGCAAAUCCUCUUUAUGGCGGGCCGAAUGCCUGGAUAACCCAUCCAUUAUAGGGUGAACCCGCUCCAAAGCUGAGACCCUCUGUCCCCAUCGAUGUCUUCCCUGGUGAACCGGGUCAGGCCGGAAGGAGCAGCCCUAAGCCUUCGAAGACAUGCUUUGGGGGCCGCAGAGGCGAGCAGAGGAGUGGAUGUAGCCCUAUGGUGGAGAGGUGAACCAGGAUGCCCACCA
rnacentral:SRP_RNA from 1 species